AGUGAACGCUGGCGGUAGGCCUAACACAUGCAAGUCGAACGGCAGCACAGUAAGAGCUUGCUCUUACGGGUGGCGAGUGGCGGACGGGUGAGGAAUACAUCGGAAUCUACUUUUUCGUGGGGGAUAACGUAGGGAAACUUACGCUAAUACCGCAUACGACCUACGGGUGAAAGCAGGGGAUCUUCGGACCUUGCGCGAUUGAAUGAGCCGAUGUCGGAUUAGCUAGUUGGCGGGGUAAAGGCCCACCAAGGCGACGAUCCGUAGCUGGUCUGAGAGGAUGAUCAGCCACACUGGAACUGAGACACGGUCCAGACUCCUACGGGAGGCAGCAGUGGGGAAUAUUGGGCAAUGGGCGAAAGCCUGAUCCAGCCAUACCGCGUGGGUGAAGAAGGCCUUCGGGUUGUAAAACCCUUUUGUUGGGAAAGAAAAGCAGCAGGUUAAAACCCCGCCGUUCUGACGGUACCCAAAGAAUAAGCACCGGCUAACUUCGUG
rnacentral:rRNA from 1 species